UCUCCCAGCCCUGACAUUUUCCUCUCCUUUGCACCUUUCAUCCCCUGACACACUAUAUAGGUUAUGCAUGCACCUCGCUUAUUAUCUAUUUUCUUCUCUCCCAUGAUCCUUAGCUCCUACAGUGGAUCCUGGCUCACAGGGCUCAGUGAAUGAAGAAUGAAGAAUGAAUGAAUGAGAGAAAUGAGACAGCAAAGAGUGUUUCAGUUCUCUGCUUGGUCGGCGUGCAUUCUCCCCACACCCUCCUCGCUGCUGGUAAGGAAGAACUGGAAGGAAGAGGAGCUACCUAUCAGGCAUGGGCAGGCAGGAAACAGGGCGAUAUUCUACAAAACCUGUCUCCUUGUCUCGCACGCCUGCCCUACUGUCCCAUCAGACUUCAUUUACAAAACAUAAUAUGACAUAGAAAAUAAAUGAGCUGUCCUGCCCAGAUUUUAGAAUGGUGAGCAAAUAAACAGUUCUUUUGAGCCA